AGAUUGAACGCUGGCGGCAUGCCUUACACAUGCAAGUCGAACGGCAGCACGGGGGCAACCCUGGUGGCGAGUGGCGAACGGGUGAGUAACAUAUCGGAACGUGCCCUGGAGUGGGGGGAUAACUAGUCGAAAGACUAGCUAAUACCGCAUACGAUCUAUGGAUGAAAGUGGGGGAUCGCAAGACCUCAUGCUCGUGGAGCGGCCGUAUAUCUGAUUAGCUAGUUGGUGGGUAAGGCCUACCAAGGCAUCGAUCAGUAGCUGGUCUGAGAGGACGACCAGCCACACUGGGACUGAGACACGGCCAGCUCCGUACGGGAGGCAGCGUAGGUGGGAAUUUUGGACAAGUGGGCGUAAGCCUGAUCCGAGC
rnacentral:rRNA from 1 species